rnacentral:lncRNA from 1 species
GACCUUGUAUUGAAAUCUUCUGCAUUUCCUGUGCCAACUAUUACCCAUUAAGAUGUUAUAUCUCAUACGGCUGAAUGUUGCAUGAUGUGUUGAUGUGUGGCAGGUGGAGGAAAAUUGUCAGAGCAGGCAAUGGUGUUUUGUUGAUGGAGUGGAGUUUUUGCAGCCAACAGUGAUGUGUUCAAUGGUGCAGUGAAGUGAGGCUGAAAUGAAACCAGUAACUACUAUUAUAUUUUCCCAUGGAUUUUCCUUGAUACUUCAACAAUGGAACUGUUAACUGCUGCCAUGUUUCACUAAGGAUUUCCUUAAUUCUUUGAUCAUGGAACUGUGAACCAAUGCUAUCGUUUACUUUGGACACUCCUUAAUUAUUCAAUGAACUGGUAAAUACUGCUAUACUUUACUAAGGAUUUCCUUAAUUCUUUGAUCAUGGAACUGUGAACCAAUACUAUCUUUUAUUUUGGACACUCCUUAUUUGGUCAAUGAACUGGUAACUGCUGCUAUGUUUUACCAAGAAUCUCUUUGAUUCUUUAACCAUGGAACUGUGGACCAAUACUAUCUUUUACUUUGGACACUUUGAUGAACUGGUAACUACUAAUAUCCUUGAUUGAGGAUAUUCCUCAAUUCUCUCUCUCUCUGAAGACAAUAGUUAGCUUAUAUGGAAAUCUUCACUCAAUAAUAUAUGCUCCACACGUUCAGCUAUUCUAGAAAAUUGCUGUAAGAGACUUUACGCCUUACUUCAUAAUCUUGUAUUUACUAUAACUACUCUACACUAUAUUUAAAUUAUAGAUUAAAUGUUCUGAAGUGAUAUCACAUGGUUUACUUGUUCAUUCUCUCUUUCGAAUAUAUAUCUACCCACUCAACUUCUAGUCAUCAUUAAUAGUCAGCCGUUGUUCAAGCCAGACUUUUAGGUAUAAUCCAAACUGAACACUUAUAGUUCACACCUAUUACAUUACUCCAUUAGAUGAAAACUUUUUGUAUGUAUAUAUAUGGAUAAUUAUGGCCAACUUUUAGUUACAUGUGAACACUUCUAGGCUUCAUCACUACUUCAGUUCUCAACUAAAUUAAAUGCAACUUUUUUAUCAAUGGUGGUCCAGUUUUCAGCUACAUUUUGAGGUAAAAUAAUUGGAAUUUGGUUCAGUCAAAAAAGAAAAAAAAUUUAAAAAUUCAAUCAAAAUAUCAAAAUAUGUGAGAUCAAAAAUGGGAGAGUAAAGCAAAAAAUUGACUUUGAAUCAAAAUAUCUCAGCUAUUAUAAAGGAAAAGUAUAGAUUAAUGGGGUUUAAAAGAAUGUGCUCAUUAAGAAGAAUCUUUUAGUGAAAACCUUGUUUAAGAGUAUUUACUAUGAAAAAGUUGUGUGGCUUUGUGACUUAAAAAUAAUCUCUCAAAUUGACUUCAGAUCAAAAUAUUUCAGCUAUUGUAAGAGAAAACUAUACAAUAAUUGUGUUCAAAUGAAAGAGCCCUAUGAAAUGUAUCUUCUGGUGGAAACCUUGUAAAAAAAUUUUUAGCUACAAUAAAAGUGGUGUGGUUUUAAGUGAUGACAAAGGUGAUCAACAAAUAAUAUUUUUUUCAUUUUAAGAUAUUUUUAACACUAUAAAAGACAGAUUUAGCAUUAUAAACGAGGUCUCUGACAUUAGGGGGUCAGUCACUUAGCUUAAUGGUAGAUAGCACUCAGCUGAAGUUUGAGUACAGGGUUUGAUUCUCUGUAGCAGCUUGCUAGGUACUUUUUUCCUCAUUUUCUAAGGGUAAUUAAUUAAUUUUCUAAGUUGUUUUUACUGUUAUUUGAGAUUUACUUCUGAUGAAGGAAGCUCUCUGAGAAGGUGCA